UCUUCUGCAAAACUGCUAUAAAAAGCAGUUCUGCAGUGAUCCUACAGGGUGCAAGGAAUAGGACUUCUGAAAG
rnacentral:lncRNA from 1 species